CAGUCGCCGCGGUAAUACGUAGGGUGCAAGCGUUAAUCGGAAUUACUGGGCGUAAAGCGUGCGCAGGCGGUUAUAUAAGACAGAUGUGAAAUCCCCGGGCUCAACCUGGGAACUGCAUUUGUGACUGUAUAGCUAGAGUACGGCAGAGGGGGAUGGAAUUCCGCGUGUAGCAGUGAAAUGCGUAGAUAUGCGGAGGAACACCGAUGGCGAAGGCAAUCCCCUGGGCCUGUACUGACGCUCAUGCACGAAAGCGUGGGGAGCAAACAGGAUUAGAUACCCGGGUAGUCCCUGUCUCUUAUAA
rnacentral:rRNA from 1 species